rnacentral:rRNA from 1 species
CGAGUAGGGCGGGACACGUGAUAUCCUGUCUGAAUAUGGGGGGACCAUCCUCCAAGGCUAAAUACUACUGACUGACCGAUAGUGAACCAGUACCGUGAGGGAAAGGCGAAAAGAACCCCUGUGAGGGGAGUGAAAUAGAACCUGAAACCGUGUACGUACAAGCAGUAGGAGCACCUUCGUGGUGUGACUGCGUACCUUUUGUAUAAUGGGUCAGCGACUUAUAUUCAGUGGCAAGGUUAACCAUCUAGGGGAGCCGUAGGGAAACCGAGUCUUAACUGGGCGUUCAGUCUCUGGAUAUAGACCCGAAACCAGGUGAUCUAGCCAUGGGCAGGUUGAAGGUUGAGUAACAUCAACUGGAGGACCGAACCGACUAAUGUUGAAAAAUUAGCGGAUGACUUGUGGCUAGGGG